rnacentral:rRNA from 1 species
UACGAAGGGGGCUAGCGUUGUUCGGAAUUACUGGGCGUAAAGCGCGCGCAGGCGGUUUUCCAAGUCAGUGGUGAAAGCCCGGAGCUCAACUCCGGAAAUGCCAUUGAAACUGCAAAACUUGAGUACGAGAGAGGUGAGUGGAAUUCCCAGUGUAGAGGUGAAAUUCGUAGAUAUUGGGAAGAACACCAGUGGCGAAGGCGGCUCACUGGCCCGUAACUGACGCUGAGGUGCGAAAGCGUGGGGAGCAAACAGG